CUUUUAAAGCAGAUAAAAAUGACCUGAAACUCAAUCUUGGUGUUGGUGCCUAUAGAAUAGAAGAAUUGUAGCCCUAUGUCCUCAGUGUAGUCAAGAAGGCUGAAAAUCUUAUGUUGGAGAAAGGAGAAAACAAAGAGUAUCUUCCUAUUAAAGGCUUAACAACAUUUACCAAAGCAACUGCAGAGCUACUCCUUGGAGCUGACAACCCCGUCAUCAAGCAAGGACUGUUUCUGUAGCAAGUCAUCAACAAUAUGGAGUAGAGGAAGAGUACAUGGAUCUGGAGUUCUAGACAGUUUAUAAAUCAAAUGUCACAAGUAUGUGCUCAACUGACUACCAUUGCUGUCUUGAUGCUCGGUUUUACA